rnacentral:tRNA from 1 species
GCCUAGCUGGCUGAGUCAGUAGAGCGUGUGACUCUUGAUCUCAGGGUCCUGAGUUCAAGUCCCAUGCAGGGCA